rnacentral:rRNA from 1 species
AUUGAACGCUGGCGGCAUGCCUUGCACAUGCAAGUCGAACGGUAACAGGUCUUCGGAUGCUGACGAGUGGCGAACGGGUGAGUAAUACAUCGGAACGUGCCCAGACGUGGGGGAUAACGAGGCGAAAGCUUUGCUAAUACCGCAUACGAUCUAAGGAUGAAAGCAGGGGACCGCAAGGCCUUGUGCGUUUGGAGCGGCCGAUGGCAGAUUAGGUAGUUGGUGGGAUAAAAGCUUACCAAGCCGACGAUCUGUAGCUGGUCUGAGAGGACGACCAGCCACACUGGGACUGAGACACGGCCCAGACUCCUACGGGAGGCAGCAGUGGGGAAUUUUGGACAAUGGGCGAAAGCCUGAUCCAGCAAUGCCGCGUGCAGGAUGAAGGCCUUCGGGUUGUAAACUGCUUUUGUACGGAACGAAAAGGCUCUGGCUAAUACCUGGGGCACAUGACGGUACCGGAAGAAUAAGCACCGGCUAACUACGUG